CGGAGGAUCCAAGCGUUAUCCGGAAUCAUUGGGUUUAAAGGGUCCGUAGGCGGUUUAAUAAGUCAGUGGUGAAAGCCCAUCGCUCAACGGUGGAACGGCCAUUGAUACUGUUAAACUUGAAUUAUUAGGAAGUAACUAGAAUAUGUAGUGUAGCGGUGAAAUGCUUAGAGAUUACAUGGAAUACCAAUUGCGAAGGCAGGUUACUACUAAUGGAUUGACGCUGAUGGACGAAAGCGUGGGUAGCGAACAGGAUUAGAUACCCUGGUAGUCCACGCCGUAAACGAUGGAUACUAGCCGUUGGGAGCAAUCUCAGUGGCUAAGCGAAAGUGAUAAGUAUCCCACCUGGGGAGUACGUUCGCAAGAAUG
rnacentral:rRNA from 1 species